rnacentral:rRNA from 1 species
UACGUAGGGUGCAAGCGUUGUCCGGAAUUAUUGGGCGUAAAGAGCUCGUAGGCGGUUCGUCACGUCGGCCGUGAAAACCUGCAGCUUAACUGUGGGCUUGCGGUCGAUACGGGCAUCACUGGAGUUCGGCAGGGGAGACUGGAAUUCCUGGUGUAGCGGUGAAAUGCGCAGAUAUCAGGAGGAACACCGGUGGCGAAGGCGGGUCUCUGGGCCGAUACUGACGCUGAGGAGCGAAAGCGUGGGGAGCGAACAGG